rnacentral:rRNA from 1 species
CAGCCGCCGCGGAAUACAGAGGGUGCGAGCGUUAAUCGGAUUUACUGGGCGUAAAGCGUGCGUAGGCGGCUUCUUAAGUCGGAUGUGAAAUCCCUGAGCUUAACUUAGGAAUUGCAUUCGAUACUGGGAAGCUAGAGUAUGGGAGAGGAUGGUAGAAUUCCAGGUGUAGCGGUGAAAUGCGUAGAGAUCUGGAGGAAUACCGAUGGCGAAGGCAGCCAUCUGGCCUAAUACUGACGCUGAGGUACGAAAGCAUGGGGAGCAAACAGGAUUAGAUACCCCUGUAGUCCCUGUCUCUUAUACA